rnacentral:rRNA from 1 species
CACGUAGGGGACGAGCGUUGUCCGGAAUCAUUGGGCGUAAAGCGCGCGUAGGUGGCCCAGUAAGUCCGUUCUGAAAGUCACAGGCUCAACCUGUGAAAGCGGAUGGAUACUGCUGGGCUAGAGUCCGGAAGAGGCGAGUGGAAUUCCUGGUGUAGCGGUGGAAUGCGCAGAUAUCAGGAGGAACACCAACGGUGAAGGCAGCUCGCUGGGACGGUACUGACACUAAGGCGCGAAAGCGUGGGGAGCGAACAGG